GGACUAGGAACUGAGCGUUAGACUCUUUCCUUUGCAAGAGUGGAAUGUCGCAAGAUUGGGAAAGAAAUUUCUGUGUUUGCGACCUUAGGGCGCACUUUCCGGCCAAUCCAGAGGCGCCUGAAGGCCGGUUGGGCUGGUGAGGUCCGAGGCAGCUUCAGGGACUUCUGAGCAGCCCCAGUCUGUACAAGAUGGACCCCAUAGUCCUGAGUUACAUGGAUAGUCUACUGCGGCAAUCAGAUGUCUCAUUGCUGGACCCACCAAACUGGCUCAAUGACCAUGUCAUUGGAUUUGCCUUUGAGUAUUUCAGCAACAGUCAGUUUCGUGACUACUCUGACCACGUCUGCUUCAUCAGCCCCGAAGUCACCCAGUUCAUCAAGUGUAUUAAUAGCCCAGCAGAAAUUGCCAUGUUCCUUGAACCCUUGGAGCUUCCCCACAAGAGAGUUGUAUUUUUAGCCAUCAAUGAUAACUCCAACGAGGCAGCUGGUGGAACCCAUUGGAGUUUGUUGGUUUAUCUACAGGAUAAAAAUAGCUUUUUUCAUUAUGAUUCCCAUAGCAAAAGCAACUCUAUCCAUGCAAAGCAGGUAGCAGAGAAACUAGAGACCUUUUUAGGUAGAAAAGGAGACAAACUGGUCUUUGUAGAGGAAAAAGCCCCUGCUCAACAAAACAGCUAUGACUGUGGGAUGUACGUGAUCUGUAACACUGAGGCCUUGUGUGAGAACUUCUUUAGGCAACAGCCGGACUCCCUGCUGCAGCUGCUCACCCCCACAUACAUCACGAAGAAGCGAGCAGAAUGGAAAAAUCUCAUUGCCAGGCUUGCUAAGAACUAGCUACUGAAGAACAUUUGUGAGUCUGGAAGCUUUUGUUUCUGCCCUUCCGCAUUGAUUGGAUGGCUGCAGUCUCAGUGCCUGAGGGAAGAUGCCUGGUGAAGAAAAGCUCCCUGUUUUUCUUAAAGGAUCUCAUCCUCUUCAUUGGCCCUAUGGAAAGUUUCCUUUAACCCUGACCUGAGAGCACCACAUUCUGUGAAAAUAUGUUCGAGUUCUGCACCAAAACCUUAAAUUUACUUUAACAUUUAUUACAUAUGCACUUCAAAGCCAAGAUUAUAGCUAUGCAAAAUUCAGCUCCUAAAUAUUCAAAAUGAAAGCAACUUACUCAAAACUGAGUUAAGCAAUUUUCAAAUGGAACCACUCUGCUUUCCAGCAAUGCCUGUUGCAGUGUCCCAGAAGUAUUUUCACAUUUGUCCAUUGGGGUCAAUAUGAAACUGAGAAAGGUCACCAUGUGUUAACCCAGCUGUAGAUGGUGGUAUUAUAUAUUUUGGAGUUUUUAUGUACACAUGAUGAAAUAUGAUGAUGAGGCCCAUGUCUAAACAAGAUUCCACGUUUAUGUUUCAUACAUAAAUGUUUCUUCUAAAAGUAGCCUGAGGAUAAUUUUUUUUGGUAACUUCAUACAAUAUUUUUAGUGCACCAGCAUUUUGACUGCAAUUCUUCACAUGAGGUCAGUGGAAUUCAUCACUUGUGGCAUCAUGUUGGUGCACAAAAAGAUUUUGGAGCACUUUGGAUUUUAGAUUUUCAGCUCAGGGAUGCUGUUCUUAUACCUGGUUUAAAGAUGAAGAAAUUGAGGCUUAGAGUCACUGCAGUUAAGUAAACUGAAUAGGUUUAAAUGUAGUUACACUCAGGCUGAGAGCUAACUCAGUGGCACAAACACCAGUCUGGCAAGUGCAAGUUCUUGAAUUCGAUCCCUAGUACCAAAAAAAAAAAAAAAAAAAUUGUAGGUACCCUCAUUCCAGAACUUUCACUCUUAUCCAGCAGGCUGUACUGCAUUUUGAUUUUAUGUUUAUUUGUCUGUUUAUUUUUUGAUACAGGCUCUUGCUAUGUAGUUUAGGCUGGCCUUAAACUUACAUCUUGGUUGUUAAUAUUAUGUUUUUCUAUUUUAACAGAAAAGAAAGAUUGCUAUUAAAACCAAAAUAGCGGGGCUGGAGAUUUAGCUCAGCAGCAUAAGCACCUGCCUUGUAAGCAGGCAGUCAUGAGUUCGAUCCCCGGUACUGAUAAAAAGGAAAAAGACAAAAAAAAAAAAAAAAAUGAAUGUAGCUUUCCUAAUUUCUAAAAAAUGUCUCAUAACAUGUUUUCAUUUCCUUUUUUUAGUACAGGGGCCUAAACACAGGGCCUUUGCUCUGAAAUACAUCCUCUGUUCCCUCUUUUUAAGAAACAUUCUGAGACAAGGUCUUGCUAAAUUUGAGUUCCCCAGGCUGUACUCAAACUUACAAUCUUCCUGCCUCAAUUUCCUAGAGCUCUGGAAUUCUAGACAUGCACCACCAUGAAGAUAUUUUUCUAGAGAGCUUGUUGGUUUGUUGGAACAAACACCUCGAUCUCUGUGGUCAAGAAAAGAUAUUAGUUAGUCCAUGCAGGCCAAGAGACUAAUUAUGCCAACUAAAGAAAUUUGGAUUUUCAUUGGUUGGCCUAGUGAAAGACAAUGAGACCUAGAAAACAGGAGGGGAGAUUAGUGAGAGAACUAGGAGUUAGGGCCCUACUAAAAGGCAUGGCUACUGAGAUUCCUGCUAUAAUUAAAAAUACUAAAUCUUGCCAUCAUAGAGCACAUCUGUAAUUCCUGCAUGCAGGAGGCUGAGGCAGGAAAAUUGCCAUGAGCUCGGGCUACAUACUGAGACCCUCUCUAAACAAAGAAAAAAACCAAACAAACAAAAAAAAAAGCUAUUAAAUACUAUCAUCAGAUGUGUAUGAGUCGAAUUUGAAGUUUCUGGCUCCAUAGUGUAGUCUUAACUCUAAACCUCACAGUUUGGAGAUACCCAGACCUGUCCUGGCAGUGGGUCCCUUGGAAGAAUGCAGAGUGAGGAGCAGCACAUGAUGAACCAUAAAAGAAAUGACCAAGGCACAAGAGAUGGUGGCCACACAGGACAUUGGACAGAGUUUGACCCAGGAGACACUGAAGCAAUCCUGGAAUUCUCAGACCCUUACACAGUGAUUGGAGUUAGGUCUCAGGUCAUUUUUGUGUUGAAAGAAUGACCCAAAAACAUAAAAUUAUUUGAAGUUUUUCAGUUUGGAAAGUUCUGGGUUACAUUCAAAUGGUAAAAAGUGUUGGCUGAACCACAGUAACACUGGUUGCUUAGCAGUGUCCAUCAUGGUCUCUGCCCUGAUGUAAAUUUGUUGGUUUCCAGGACAUCAAACUUUCUAGUUUCCUCCUUCCUUAUCAGGCGCUCGAUUUCCAUUGCUAGUUCUUGCUUUUCUCCCCGAUCUCGAGUUGACAGUGCUCCUCAGGGCCCAGUCCUCCAGCCUCUCUGUCCACCAACAUUAACUCCCUGGAUGACCUCAUCCAGGGUCAUGCUCAUAAACACCAUAACUCUCAAAUCUCUUAUCUCCCAGACAGAGAUAGAGAUGUCCACCUGACAACCCCCUCCAGUUAUCAGAAGCUCAUCUCAAACUUGCCAUGUCCAAUUCUGCAUUUCUGAUCUUCCACCCCACAGUUUCCAAAGGUCUCACUCAUGGCUUUCUCCAUGUCCAUCCUGCCAAGUCAAAAAUUAUGAAGUCCUCCUUAAGACUCUUUUCCUGUAGUACCCUAUCUCCAGCUCAGCAGUGACCCUGCUGCUUCUGCCUUCAGAAUAGGCCCACAGCCUGCCCAUUUCCCCCAUUUCUACUUCUGUCGUCCUAGUUAGAACCACCACUGCCAUCACUUGCUUGGAUCACUACAAAAACCUAACCAAAAUACCUUUCCCACCCUAGCAGCCAAGGAUGAUCCUUUUAAGUAUAUAUAAUAAAAGAUCAUUAUACUUUAUCCAAAGUUCUUUUGUUCUUUUUGCCUUUUUCUUUCUUUCUCUUUGUCUUUUUGAGACAGAGUCUCACUAUGUAAUUCAGACAGACCUUGAACUCACUAUGUAACCCAGGCUGGCCUUGUACUCAAAACAAUCCUCCUGCUUUAGCCUCCCCAGUGAUGGGGUUACAGGCGUGCACCAUCACACCCAACCCAUCCAAAAUUCUUAUAGUCACCUCCCAUGUUCUUCCAGCUUUUCCCCCCGCCCAGCCCCUCUUGUUCUCUCUUCCAGCUAUACCUGCUACUUCGCUGGGGACAAGCAAGCUGGGCCCUUUCCUGCCUCAGACCCUGCGUACAUGCUAUUCUUACUCCCUGCUUCCAUAAAGCUUAUUCUUUCACUUCUUUCCUUAAAUACCAGCUCCUCAGUUAGAUCCUCUCUGACUGCUCUUUUCCAAUGGCAAUACCCUAACAGCAUUGCCAACCCCCCUUUUUUUUAACAAUACUAGGGAUCAAACCCAGGACUAUGCACAUCCUAGGUGGGCUACUUCCUAACCUCCUUUGAUUCUUUUUUUUUUUUAAUUUUUAUUUAAAGAAAGACUAAACAAAACAGAAAAUAGGUAGAAAUAAUACAUACGUUCAGAGAAAAAAAUAAACAGUAAAAAAUCACUAGUUGAUGUUUAUAUAUUGUCAUUUUACAAAUAGUAGUUCAAGAUACAAAAAUGAAACAUGUAAAGCAGGAAUUCAAACAGCGAAACUGCAAACAGUUCUGUUCAACUGUCCAGCAAAAACUUAGUAACAUGGUUGUCAAUCCUAUACAUUUAAACAUACAUGCAGUUUUCCUUAUCUUCAAUUAUGUUGAGAUUGAACAAACCCAAACCAGCUAAUAUCACUCUAAACAAAGAGUAAUACUAUUGCUGGGUGUCUCACUAUGACACUCCAGGAUCAGCACGGGGUACUUUAGUGUCUCUUUUUCUUCAUAGUAUCUGUUCAUUUCAUCACAUGUCAUAAGAUCAGUUCUCAUAAACCGCUUAUAGAUCUACACAUGAAGGAGUCCUAACAUGUAUUUCUAUCAUUUCUAUAUUGGAGAAACAAAACAAAGCAAGACAAAACAAAACAUAUUCCUAUAAACACAUGAAACAAAAAAGACAUAUAAGACCAUUGUACAAAAAGUUCUACCAUAGUUCCUGUGUUGUCUCUUGUUAUCUUCAAUAGAAUUGGCUAUGUGUCGUAGUUAGGGGUUGUACACAGAGAACAAUUAGGAUUAGGACAUGGAGUUUUGUAAUAUUUUUUUUAUAAUGGUCACCAGGAGUUAACACAGGAAAAUGCAGGAAAUCUAUCCGCAACACCAAAGACAUAGAUUAUUUAGUCAAGAGCCUAAACCCCACAGCAAUGUCCCACAUGAGUCCAGAUAAACCCCAGAGCUCAGGACAAUGCCUCCACGAGUCCAGCUGGAGGUCCAGAGCCCACAAGAAGGACUCACGCCAGUCUCUUUUACGGAUCCAUACCGGGAAGACCCGAGGGUCAGCGGUGGAAGCAAGAAAGUCUGUGCCAUCAGGAUGAAGGAGCUGUGCUAGUGGGAUGAGGGUUCUACGCUAUAGCCGAGAAGUCACACUCACAACAAAGACCAGGGCUAUCCUGAAAGGCACCACAGCCGUCCUCAGCAACACAGAGACCCUGAGCUCCUCCAACGACAAGCACAGUCGGGUACGUGCCAGGAAGCAACGUCAUCCUGAAGACCAAGCAGCACAUGUCUUACCCCUCCGGAGCCAGGAAGCGCAAUGCUCGAUGUAAAAGACCAAAGCUUCUUCAGGAGAACCAACAGCUCAGACAGCAACUCAUAGGAGAACCCACAAUGCCUCUUUAACGCCUCAACCUUCAACAUUCCCUUCUCCUCCCAUUUAUCCUGGCAACUUUCCUCAGGUGGAACAUCUUCACUCAAUGCAAUACUGAUAUAAUCCAGCUGGUGUUAAGUUGAUCACCAGUUCUUAAUCCAUAACAUAGUAUAAUUGAAUAUAUCAGUACAUAACAGUAUUAAUAAAAACACAACUUUGAAUAUAGUAUAAAAUUUCAAAAGCAGGCAGUUAUCAAACCAGAAUGUGUAUCAUAGAGUCUUGUCAUCUUCAGUGUAGUUGCCUAUACUCUCAGACUUCAUACUAUCAAGCAUAUCAGUUUUGAAUAAAAUCUGUUGAUACCAAACAGCAACCAAACAAACCAGAUUUAACUAAGAUCAUUCAUGAUAAGACAGUAUAAGUCAUACAAGGCUCCAGAUUAAGAUAAUAGGAAAUUAAAGAUGAUUACUGUGCUAUAUCCUGAUGUUUUUGGGAUAGCUGUCUGUGCCCUCAAAUCUAAUGCAGGUAGACAAACUGGGACAGAAUAAAUCUAUCCAAAAAAAAAAAUCUAAGCAGAGUGGUGCAAGUAACGUGGGUUUUAAAUCCUGGUACACUAUUAACUAUCUUCUGCCAUCUUUUUUAAGACUCUUCCUCCCUUUUCACUUCCCCAGGAUACACUGCAUUUUUGGGUCUGACCAAGAAGUUUUUAAAUUGGGGUGAGGGGACCUGCUAUUUACUUAAGUGGUUCUGAACCUUCUCUCUCCUGGACUUGAUCUCUAAUUGCAUUCUUUUACCUUUUAAAGCCUGUCUUUCCAACCUAUCCAGAAAUACUGGUCUAGUUGCCCCCUAUUACUCUCUGGUUGUUUGUCACAUAGAGCAUUAUUUUCUCAUAUUUGAUUUUCAGUCCAUGUACUCUUUUUCAUGUUAAUUAUAUUUCCUAUAAAUAGAUCUUGGACUCUCCCUCCUGAUCUACUCCACAUGUGGUUCUUUUUUUUUAAUUUAAUGUAUCAAGGCCAUCUAUAUUAGAGAUUAUAAACAACCUUCUCUGCCUCAUUUCUGUUAUGCUCUUUUUUUGCCAUUAGUUCUCUGCUUAUCUUCUGCAUUCUGUUUUCUGCUGCAUUCAUUGAGACUUCUCUGCCACUGUUCCUGGAAUCCUGAAUCCUGGUAUCUCUCUCUCUCUCUCUCUCUCUCUCUCUCUCUCUCUCUCUCUCAUGCCCUACAGUAUUCUCUGUAGAGCUGGAUUGGUGGUUACGAAUUUCUCAAGUUCCUCUUUGUCUUGGAAAAAUCUUGUUUCUCCAUUAAUUUCUAGAGAUAGUUUAGCCGGGUAUAUCAAUCUGGGGUAGAGGUUAUUUUCUUUCAGGGCUUGGAAUAUUUCGCUCCCAGGCUCUUCUUUUUUUUUUUUUUUUUUUUUUUCCCAGGCUCUUCUUGACUUGAUGGUUUGUGUCAAGAAGUCUGCCAUUAUUCUGAUGGCCUUCCUCUACAGGUUAUCUGUUUCUUGUCUCUAACAGCUUUUAAUAUUCUGUUCUUAUAUUGAAUUUCUGGGAUCUUGAUUAUUAUAUGCCUGGGUGUGGCUCUGUUUUGGUUGUAGGUGGCUGGAGUUCUGUAUGCUUCAUAUAUCAGAAUAUCAUUUCCUUUUCCUAUGUUUGGGAAGUUUUCCUUAAUUUAUUUCUGUGAAUAACCUUUGUAGUUCCUUUGUACCCCUGCUUCUUCAUUCACAUUCUUUUUUUUUCUUUUUCUUUUCUUUUCUUUUUUUUUUUUUUUUUUUGUCUUUUUCCUUUUUAUCGGUACCAGGGAUCGAACUCAUGACUGCCUGCUUGCAAGGCAGGCGCUUUAUACCACUGAGCUAAAUCCCCAGCCCCUUCAUUCACAUUCUUUAUUCUCAAGUUAUAGAUCCUUUUGUCAUCUUCUAGCCUUUGUAUUGUUACUGCUUGUUUCCUUGUUAUUUUUUAAAAGUUCUCCCUUUCAUAAUCCCACAUUGCAAAAUUGUCCUCCAGUUAGGAUAAUCUAUCCUUAGUUUCUUUCAAGCUGAUGUGCCAUCUUUCCAUAGAAUUUUUAAUUUCCUGGUGAUUCUCUUUGAAUCUGCUUCAUGUAUUCUAUAUUUUUUUAUAUUCUUCAUCAAAUGGUAUUCUCCUUUGAGUUCCUCCCUUCCGUCUGUGUCUGCUUGAGGGGUGCUUAGUAUCUCUUUUAUUAAUCUUCUUAUAUCUUGCUUUGUUUGGCUAAAUAUUUCACUUUUGAAGUCAUCUAUGAGGUCCCAAAUAUAUCUCUUUAUGUCCCUUGGUGCUGUGUGUGAUAUUGCAUAUUUGUUGUUCUCAUUGUCCUUUGUAUUUACCUGUCCUGGGUCCAUGUUCUCAGUGUUGGGCCUGGGGAGUUUUUUGUUGUUGCUUCCUCUUCCCAUCUUUUUUGCUUCUUCCAGGAGGCCCCAUUUUCUUUCUUUGUUGGUUACAUUCUUCUGAAGCGCACUGGCUAGAUGACCCUUCACACUACUGUGUGCUAGUAACUUGCAGACAGGGACAGCGUAUGCUGGUCCCUCUCCUCCAGAUCAGUCAAGCUGCUGUGGCCUGCACUGUCAGUCAAACUUCUGACGUUUCACUGUGUUAGUGUGGUUAGUGUGCGCCACCACUGUAGGGAUUUGAUUUCGGGUAACCUAUUGGGUCUCAGCCAGGUCACAUGACCCAGACCUAGCUCACUCCACCAAUCCCAUUCGGGAAGGGAACAACUUACUAAAGUCACUGCUGCCCCUUGUACUUGCCAGUUCUACCCAGUCCCAGAAUGUCAUUUGCCAGAGCCCCCCUAUUUAUAGAAUGGCUCCACUCCCAGUCACUCACCAUAGGUCAAUGUAGGCACCCUGCCAACUCAGCUCUCCUUUUUGCUUGCCAACCUCCAAACUCAAUGUUGAAGCAGCAGGACCUUGAAUGACUUGGCAAGUCAAGGUGGGACCUCAGCAAGUCACGGUGGGACCUCGGCAAAUCGCCUUAAUUUCUUAUUGGGAUGAGAGAAUUCAUCUCCCUCUGUUUGAGGCUCCCCGCUCCGUAUUAUGUUGAAUUCUAAGUUGACUAUCUCAGGGAGCCUCUGUAGCCAGUUGUUAUUUAUCCACCAUCUUUGCUCCUCCCCCUGAUUCUCUUUUGAGACAGGCUCUUGCUAAGUUGUGCAGGCUGGCCUCAAACUUGUCACUUUCUGCCUUGGCCUCCUGAGUAAGAGAUAAUAGGCAUGUGCUACCACAUCUGGCUCUUCUUUUUCUACCUUUCCCCAUUUUCUCUUAGAAUUUAUCACCUUUCUAACAUACUACAUGAUUUAGUUAUUAGCUUGCUUUAGUUAGCUUGCUACCAACCUCCCUCACAUCACUCUAGUAUAUAUAAUAAACACCAUGAAGAGAAACAUCUUGAUUUGCCAUACUCCCUGAUAUAUUCCAAGCACUUAGCCUCGUGCCUAACCCAUGGUAAGCACUCAGUUAUUUGAAUGAAGAAAAAGAAACAAAAUCUGUCACCCCUACUGUCCUAGUCACUUCCUCAUUGCUGGGACAUUACCCGACACCCACAACUUAAAGGCUCACAGUGUAUGGAAGUUUCAGUCUGUACUCAGUCACUCCGAGGCAGACAGCAUGACAGAGGGCCUGGGUAGAGGAGAGUUACUCACAGCAUGGACAACAGGAAGUGGAGAGAGAAAAGAGGAGCCACACAAGGAGAUAACCCCUUCAGGGUCACACCCAAAGUGACUGCUCUCUUCCAGCCAGGCCCUACCUUCUAACAGCAAGUCAGCUGUAAAGCCCCAAAAUCUAAUCACCCUCCAAAGGUCCUGCCUAUGAUUACUUUAGGGAGACCUCCAGAUACAAACUGUAACACCUAACAACAGAAUAAGAAUAAGAAUCCACAAUUUUAUACAACCCGGGCAUUUUUCUUUUGGCUAGGAAUUGGCAGUUUUCCCUGAAGGACCAGACAAUAAAUAUUUUAUGCUUUUU